AGCGGAGAAGAGAAAAGGCUGUCUCGUCAGGCUCAUAAUCUGAAGAAUGUAGGUUCAAUUCCUACCUCCGCUC
rnacentral:tRNA from 1 species